GGCCAGGUGGCGGAAUGGUAACGCAUCCGAGACAAAUACAGCCUUGUUCAAUGUUUCCUUGCAAGGUCUCCGUUCAAUUUGGGGUCUGGCCU